rnacentral:rRNA from 1 species
GGGCUUGGCCGCCUCUUCUUUUUUCUUUUUCGGGAGGGCUGGAAUAGGGGUGCGGGCGAGAUGCGGUAGGGGCGGGGGAGCCGUGGAAGGGUCCGUCGUCCGCAGCGGCGUCCGUGGAGGGAGGAACCGUCAUCCGCGGCGGCAGUGGUGAAGGGAGGGGCCGUCGUUCGUGGCGGCGGGGGUUGAAGGAGGCCGCCGUCUUCGCACCGGCGGAGGUAGAGGGAGGGGUCGUCUGCGUGGUGGCUGGAGUGGAGGGGGGGCCGUCGGCGCGACAGCGCUGAGGUGGAGGACCGGCACGGCGGCGCGCGGAGGUAGAGGGCCGAAGGGCCGCGGCGGGACAGCCGGUGGAGGACGCCGGGUCGAGUUAGGUCAGGGCGGCCGAAAGCGGUACGUUCGGUUGGUCCUGUGGAGGUGGCGCUGUCUCUACAGCGGGGCGCGAGGGGUGGCCGAACGGGAGCGACGGACGGGGCACGGAGGUUAGCCUCGUGGGGUAGCGGCAGGUGGCACCGUGGAGCGGUGGUGAACGUCUACCUCCUCCGGAGCCGGACGUCGAUCUCCUCAAGAACUGGACGUAGACGUCUACUUACCGUGUAGGCCCUCUAUAUCCUCUACCGUCGCGUGGAGGGUGAGUGGUACCUGCCGCAGGGGAGGAGACGAGCUUGAAGAAGAGGUUGGAGUCGGAGCGGUUGGACUAUAAGGAGCCACUUCGGGCCGUUCACCACACGAGAAAGACAAUGACAAGAAGGAGUGUUUUCCAACAGAUAAGGGACAUCUAAGACGUUUUGGUGGUAAAAGACGUCAUACCAAUGUCAGGUAACACAACUAAAAAUUGUCAGGUUAACACAGAUGGUGAGGUGGACGUCGUACACAGGCGUUGGCAACCGGUUGAGACUGGUGAGGUUGAAGGACGAGGAGAGAAGAUUAAGUAGAAAAGAGGAUAGGUUCAUACGCACACGCGUCGAUUUCAAGUUGUUAACCCGUCUCUCGGCCUCUGCCGCUCAGUUGCAGUGUUUCCUGUUACCCGGCGGAGACUACGACGCGUGUCCGAACUCCGUCACAGUAGUUUGGGGCAGUCUAACGUGCAGGUGUCAGGUGGGCUCGAGGUACAGGUCGACCCAGGCUACGUUCCUACAUUCCAGGAUAGACUGGAGAGAAGAAAGAGACUUUGUUCGUGCUUCUUCGUAGUCCAUAAACUACGAGAAAUCAAGAUGCUUCACGAUCGAUAUGAUAUGUACAUGUUCGGCACGUAUACGACCGACCUCGCACACACGUGACCACGCACCCCGUACAUGAGAGAAAAAAUCUACGAACAUGACUUUUUGCACC